rnacentral:rRNA from 1 species
CAGCUAACGGCCUAAACCGGCGAAGGGGGGCGGUUCGGCCACGGUGGCGUUCGUGACUGGGGUG